GAACUAGACAACAUGGAAAGUAUGGAUGUCAUCUGUAAGGUCACUGAGCCAACAUCAUGGCAGAACGUCUCCAGUGGCUCACCAAGGCUACGGAACAAGAUGAAAGUCUGCAACUACUGAAGAAUUACUAUCAAAAUGGAUGGCCUGAUAGAAAAUCUGAAGUCAAUAAAUUAGUCUUACCUUAUUGGAACUGUCGUCAUGAAAUACAUGCUGUCAAAGGUCUGCUAUUAAAAGGUAACAGUCUUAUUAUACCUAAAGAGUUGAGACCAGAAAUUCUGAAAAUGAUACAUAGUGGUCAUCAAGGUAUAGAAAAGUCAAAAAAUUUUGCAAGAGGUGUUGUAUAUUGGCCAUUAAUGUCACAUGAUAUACAGCAAUGUGUAGAAAAUUGUGAAAUCUGUUUGUCACACAGAAAUGCAAAUCCUCCACAACCUCUAAUGUCUCAUAAGAUUAGUUCUUUUCCUUGGGAAAAAGUCGGUAUAGAUUUUUACAAUUUAAAGGUCAAACUAUUGUUGUCGUCGAAGAUUACUAUUCUAAUUAUAUAGAAAUAGCUAAUGUCAGCUCAACAGGAGCAAAAGCAUUAAUAAAUGUUUUGAAGCCUAUAUUCAGUCGUCACGGGAUUCCUGUAAAAAUAAUGUCAGAUAAUGGUCCACCCUACAGUUCACAAGAAUUUAAGCAGUUUAUAGAUUCUUGGGGUAUAUGUCAUACAACGUCAAGUCCUUACCUAUCACGGUCAAAUGGAUUAGUGGAAUCUGGGUGAAAAUAAUAAAGCGCAUACUUACCAAAUGUGCUGAGUCUGGAGAUGAUCCUCAUCUUGCCUUGCUGCAAUAUAGAACCACACCUAGAGGAAACUUACCGUCUCCUGCUGAAUUAUUGAUGUCUCGUCGUCUCAGAACACUAAUACCUACCGUUGUUAAGCAUCUGCCACCUAAAAUAACAAGUCAUAAGGAAUAUAGGAAAAUAAAACAACAUAAUAAUGUCAAACAGAAAUUUUAUUUUGAUAAAAAAUCUAAGGAGUUGUCUAAAGUCAAGAAAGGAGAUAGGGUGAUGUUCAAAAAAUCACCUGAUUCUAAAUGGCAAUCUGGAAAAGUCAUAAAGGAAUGUGAUAAACCUAGAUCAUUUAUUGUCGAAGCCCCAGAUGGAUGUACAUUUAGAAGAAAUAGGCAACACUUGUUAUGUCCUCCGUCUUCAAGUCUUAAUAAGGAAAAUAUUCCAGAAAAUUUAACAGAGAGUCAAGAAAUAAGUCAAAGUCAAAAGGAGGAAGUGAGAAA